GCGGGGGUAGCCAAGCAUGGUCAACGGCGCAAGAUUGAGGGUCUUGUCUCGAAGGGGUUCAUGAGUUCAAAUCUCAUCCCCCGCA
rnacentral:tRNA from 1 species